rnacentral:rRNA from 1 species
UACGGAGGGGGCUAGCGUUGUUCGGAAUUACUGGGCGUAAAGCGCACGUAGGCGGACCGGAAAGUCAGAGGUGAAAUCCCAGGGCUCAACCUUGGAACGGCCUUUGAAACUCCUGGUCUUGAGUUCGAGAGAGGUGAGUGGAAUUCCGAGUGUAGAGGUGAAAUUCGUAGAUAUUCGGAGGAACACCAGUGGCGAAGGCGGCUCACUGGCUCGAUACUGACGCUGAGGUGCGAAAGCGUGGGGAGCAAACAGG